rnacentral:rRNA from 1 species
CCCUUAGAUGUCCGGGGCCGCACGCGCGCUACACUGUUUGAUUCAGCGAGUCUUAACCUUGACCGAAAGGUUUGGGUAAUCUUCUAAAGUCAAACGUGAUGGGGAUCGAUCAUUGCAAUUAUUGAUCGUGAACGAGGAAUUCCUAGUAAAUGCAAGCCAUCAGCUUGCGUUGAUUACGUCCCUGCCCUUUGUACACACCGCCCGUCGCUACUACCGAUUGAAUGGUUUAGUGAGAUCUCCGGAUUGGCUCUGUAGGUCCCGCAAGGGAUUUAUUAGUAGCCAAGAAGCUGCUCAAACUUGAUCAUUUAGAGGAAGUAAAAGUCGUAACA